AAAGAGACACUGCUGCUGGCUUUGGCUAUUCUUUGGCAAUCAGAGUGAAUUAUCUAUAUUUCCUGGGAUUUCAAAUGAGAAGGCUGUCAGAACAAGCUUCUGGAAUGGAACAUUCGAGAGUGUGGGUUUUGUUCAUAUGCAGCAUUUUGCCAUGAAGAGAAAGAGGACGCAUUGGAAGGAAGGAUGCAUUUUAACACCAAUAUGUAUUUUGAGAUUGGACGCUGGAUGAUUCCAUAAAAGGGG
rnacentral:lncRNA from 1 species